rnacentral:rRNA from 1 species
GACGAACGCUGGCGGCGUGCUUAACACAUGCAAGUCGAACGAUGACGACCGAGCUUGCUCGGUCUGAUUAGUGGCGAACGGGUGAGUAACACGUGAGCAACCUGCCCUUCACUCUGGGAUAACCUCGGGAAAUCGGGGCUAAUACCGGAUAUGAGCUCCUGUCGCAUGGCGGGUGUUGGAAAGUUUUUCGGUGAAGGAUGGGCUCGCGGCCUAUCAGUUUGUUGGUGAGGUAGUGGCUCACCAAGGCGAUGACGGGUAGCCGGCCUGAAAGGGCGACCGGCCACACUGGGACUGAGACACGGCCCAGACUCCUACGGGAGGCAGCAGUGGGGAAUAUUGCACAAUGGGCGAAAGCCUGAUGCAGCGACGCCGCGUGAGGGAUGACGGCCUUCGGGUUGUAAACCUCUUUCAGCAGGGAAGAAGCGAAAGUGACGGUACCUGCAGAAGAAGCGCCGGCUAACUACGUG